UACGUAGGGGGCAAGCGUUUGUCCGGAUUUAUUGGGCGUAAAGCGCUCGCAGGUGGUUCAUUGCGUCGUGCGUGAAAGACCCCGGCUCAACUGGGGAGGGUCGUGCGAAACGGGUGAACUAGAGGCCAGUAGGGGGAUGUGGAAUUCCGGGUGUAGUGGUGGAAUGCGUAGAGAUCCGGAGGAACACCAGUGGCGAAGGCGAUUCUCUGGACCAUAACUGACGCUGAGGCAUGAAAGCGUGGGUAGCAAACAGG
rnacentral:rRNA from 1 species